UACGUAGGGGGCAAGCGUUGUCCGGAAUCAUUGGGCGUAAAGCGCGCGUAGGCGGCCGGUAAGUCCGUUGUGAAAGUCAAAGGCUCAACCUUUGAACGCCGAUGGAUACUGCCGGGCUAGAGUCCGGAAGAGGCGAGUGGAAUUCCUGGUGGUAGCGGUGAAAUGCGCAGAUAUCAAGGAGGAACACCAAGUAGUCGAAGGCAGCUCGCUGGGACGUUACUGACGCUGAGACGCGAAAGCGUGGGAGC
rnacentral:rRNA from 1 species